ACCUGGGUGGCUUAGUCGGUUAAGCAUCUGACUUCGGCUCAGGUCAUGAUCUCAUGGUUUGUGAGUUUGAGCCCCAUUCCGGCUC
rfam:Felis catus isolate Cinnamon breed Abyssinian chromosome D2, whole genome shotgun sequence.